ACCCAUGCAAGUCGAGGGGCAGCAAUUUGUAGCAAUACAAAGUUGGCGACCGGCGCACGGGUGAGUAACGCGUAUGCAACCUACCUACAACAGAAGAAUAAUCCGGCGAAAGUCGGUCUAAUACUUCAUAAAACAGGGAUACCGCAUGGUGUUAUUUGUUAAAGAUUUAUCGGUUGUAGAUGGGCAUGCGUACCAUUAGGUAGUUGGUGAGGUGACGGCCCACCAAGCCUACGAUGGUUAGGGGUUCUGAGAGGAAAGUCCCCCACACUGGUACUGAGACACGGACCAGACUCCUACGGGAGGCAGCAGUGAGGAAUAUUGGUCAAUGGGCGAGAGCCUGAACCAGCCAAGUCGCGUGAAGGAUGACGGCCCUAUGGGUUGUAAACUUCUUUUGCAGGGGAAUAAAGAUAUUCACGUGUGGGUAGUUGUAUGUACCCUGCGAAUAAGCACCGGCUAACUCCGUGCCAGCAGCCGCGGUAAUACGGAGGAUGCGAGCGUUAUCCGGAUUUAUUGGGUUUAAAGGGUGCGUAGGUGGGCUAUUAAGUCAGUGGUGAAAGUUUGUCGCUCAACGAUAAAAUUGCCGUUGAAACUGGUGGUCUUGAGUAUGGAUGAAGUAGGCGGAAUGCGUGGUGUAGCGGUGAAAUGCAUAGAGAUCACGCAGAACUCCGAUUGCGAAGGCAGCUUACUAAGGCAUAACUGACACUGAAGCACGAAAGCGUGGGUAUCAAACAGGAUUAGAUACCCUGGUAGUCCACGCAGUAAACGAUGAUUACUAGGAGUUUGCGAUAUAGUGUAAGCUCUACAGCGAAAGCGUUAAGUAAUCCACCUGGGGAGUACGCCGGCAACGGUGAAACUCAAAGGAAUUGACGGGGGCCCGCACAAGCGGAGGAACAUGUGGUUUAAUUCGAUGAUACGCGAGGAACCUUACCCGGG
rnacentral:rRNA from 1 species